CAAGUCGCACGAGAAAGGGGAGCAAUCCCUGAGUACAGUGGCGUACGGGUGAGUAACACGUGGAUGAUCUACCUUCUAGUGGGGAAUAACCAUGGGAAACCGUGGCUAAUACCGCAUAAGCUCGAGAGAGGAAAGCAGCAAUGCGCUGGAAGAGGAGUCCGCGGCCGAUUAGCUAGUUGGCAGGGUAAAAGCCUACCAAGGCAGAGAUCGGUAGCCGGCCUGAGAGGGCACACGGCCACACUGGCACUGAAACACGGGCCAGACUCCUACGGGAGGCAGCAGUGGGGAAUCUUGCACAAUGGGGGAAACCCUGAUGCAGCGACGCCGCGUGAGCGAUGAAGCCCUUCGGGGUGUAAAGCUCUUUCGGCAGGGAAGAUGAUGACGGUACCUGCAGAAGCAGCUGCGGCUAACUACGUGCCAGCAGCCGCGGUAAUACGUAGGCAGCGAGCGUUGUUCGGAGUUACUGGGCGUAAAGGGUGUGUAGGCGGUUGUUUAAGUUUGGUGUGAAAUCUCCCGGCUCAACUGGAAGGGUGCGCCGAAUACUGAAUGACUUGGAGUGCGGGAGAGGUGAGUGGAAUUCCUGGUGUAGCGGUGAAAUGCGUAGAUAUCAGGAGGAACACCGGUGGUGUAGACGGCUCACUGGACCGUAACUGACGCUGAGACACGAAAGCGUGGGUAGCAAACAGGAUUAGAUACCCUGGUAGUCCACGCCCUAAACGAUGCAUAUUUGGUGUGGGCAGUU
rnacentral:rRNA from 1 species